rnacentral:lncRNA from 1 species
GCCAAACUAAAGAGCUAACUUGUUAUUUUCUUCCCCCCCUCAGUCACCAACCAUGAGGACUUGCUGCUUACCUGGGAUGUCUCAAAUUUCCUACAGACRCUCUAAGCUGCUUUGCAACAGAAACAGAAGAUACUGUGGUGGUUUAGCAUUCAGGGAUUGGCUGAGGAGCACUUAAUUCCCCAGAGCCCCACCAAGACGUGUCAGACCYGUCCCCGCUUCCAAGUACAGCUGCAGCAGUAUCCAGACCCCUUCCUCCCUCUACGCAAGGAGAACUGGGGAAACUGGAACAGAAACAGCCAAGAGUUACGGCAGCAAACAUGAGUACUACGUGUUUUUAUUGUUGCCAAGUGAUCACAACUGCCGUGUGUGCACAGCACAACUCUCGUGGCCCUCAGGUGCCCGAGAGGCAGCAGCACAGCAUAGCAGCAGUCUGUUCCCAGCUUUGCAGUACAUUUCCUCUGGGACACUCGGCAAGAUAUUUAAGCUCUGUGCUACUUAAAGGCUUCAAAACUGUAAAAAGAAAAACUGUUAAUACUGAAACAAGAUGAACAUAUGACUUGAAGUACUUUCUUCAAAG